AAAAAAUGAAAACAUAAAAGAAAUCAGAAUAAGAAAUUACUAACUAAAAAGCAAACGAAAUGUAUAAAUUAGCUAUGGGAGACAACCAUCAAAGCAAGUGGAAUCUUCUAUAUUAUAAGGGACAAUUGUGUAUUGUUGUGAAGUUUUAGGUAAAAUUGCACCGAGAAGCUCGGCUAAAAGGAAGUAGAUGAGAAAUUUUGUGGUAUACAUCAUAUUUCUGAUGUUCGACAAGUAAAACAAACCCUAAUUUUUGUUAAUGUUGUAGUCAAUGGUAGACGCAAGGACAAACGAGCCUCAUGGAUGAAUUUGUUGUGAAAAGGUACUGCCAAUAACCUCAUAUCAGUGUAUUUCGAUUUCUUGGUUAUUCCUUAUAAUUACUAAUUGACUUUGCAUUUUAUUUGUAGUUGGAUUUUGACCCAGAUGAAGAAUGUAUUUUGUCCAAUUCUCUUAGCUAUUGGAAGAAUGUAUUUUGUUGCUUCAUUUGUAGCAGAUGAAGUAGUAGGCAUCGGUGCAAUAGUUUAGGGAUUUGUUUGUAUGGAUUUCACGGAGUGUUAUUAGAAGUAGAAAUCCAAUUCUCUGUUGAUGUGAGCACAUCCACUAAGCUAGAUUCUUUUCCAAAUAAAAAAAAAAAAUCCACUUUACUUGCUAUACUAGCCUUUGAUUUGUUAUUUCUGGAUGAUCACUGAAUCUCUCAAAGUCCGGAUGUUUAUUUCUUCACCUGUUGCAGUUUAACUUUCAUGGAACAAUCUUUUGCAGACGGAUUAGGUGUGCCUCCAUGAACUACGGUCGAAACAUGCACGCCAACUCAACUCUCUUGGUCUUGAGGCGUUUGCUGCGGGGUUUCGCCUCCAUGUACAAUUUUGGGAAUUAGGAUAGUUUUGUAUGAUGAUUUUGUGAUUAAGUUUGAGUUUGAUUAAAAAAAUUACAGGUGUUGAUUCAUCGGAUAUUGACACACAAAAUGCAUAUAAGGAUUUGGUAACUGUGAAAACAAUAAUGGAUGCUAUGGUUUUGACAGCUUAUUUAAAAUAGAAACUCAAGAGAGCUAUUUUUGUUGUUCCACCCAGUAAAGACGAUGGCAAAGGGAAAAAAAUGGUGGAAGAGAUUGAAAAGCUGAUUUGGAAAAAUGAUAUAGUUAUGCUACUUUGUGCUGCCAUAUUAUGACAAUAACACAUUGCUGGCACUUACGUAAAGAUUAGUACAGAGGUUGUGAUAUUUACUGAAAAACAAAAAGAAAUUAGAGUAUGAAGUGAGGGUAGUUCACUGCCUAUCUGAACUGCGAGCUUUAACAUCGUAUCGUUAGUCCUCAUACAGAAGUAGCAAGCAUGGAUCCAUUGGAGAUCACUUGGCUUAUUCGCCAAUUCUUAGCCGAAACAAUUUGAAUUCGAACGAAAGCUCAGUGGAAGUGAACUUCCGGAGGUUACUAACAUUCUUGAUGUUGUUGGAAUUGAUCCUUCCAUCUCGAACUCAGGUUCGCAUGUUCGCUGGGAGUCGACAACAUGAAAUACUUUCACCAUGCAAUCAACUCUGUCUGGGCACUGAGAGCAAGAGAUAUAUAUAGAGAGAGAGACAGAGAUGCUAUGGCUGAGGCCAGGGAAUACGAAGCCAUCAAAGAAAAACAAUAUUACUUAUGGCAGUAAUAGAUGGUACCAAAAAAUUGUAUGCAUGUUUGUGCUCGGAAUGCAUAUGGUUUUUGGGCCUGCAUAUUUGUCUCAAUGGAAUGGAGUUGCUGCUAUGUUAACUUCCUUUUCUGUUGAAGUUCACAACAAAUUCUGAAAAUGUAAGUUAGUUACUUUUAAGGCUACUUUUUAAAUUUCAUUACAUGUACAUUUGCUUUAUGUCAGGAAUUUCCAAAAAUGUGUAUAUUCGGAUACAGUAGUAGCUAACUCAUGUUUCUUUGAAUCUAUUAAUUUGAGACUUGGAGAGGUC